UACGGAGGGGGCUAGCGUUGUUCGGAAUUACUGGGCGUAAAGCGCGCGUAGGCGGCUUUGUAAGUUAGAGGUGAAAGCCCGGAGCUCAACUUCGGAAUUGCCUUUAAGACUGCAUCGCUAGAAUCGUGGAGAGGUGAGUGGAAUUCCGAGUGUAGAGGUGAAAUUCGUAGAUAUUCGGAAGAACACCAGUGGCGAAGGCGACUCACUGGACACGUAUUGACGCUGAGGUGCGAAAGCGUGGGGAGCAAACAGGAUUAGAAACCCCCGUAGUCC
rnacentral:rRNA from 1 species